GAAUGGUGUAAUGGCGGACGAAGAGCGAAGAGAAGCUUUCGCCGCGCAAAAUCAGCACAGACACAGUGUAUAAGACGCUCAAAACGCAUACAAAAUAUGCUCACAUCGUUUGCGGUAGACCCACACUAAAAUAUGUCGAGCGUUUUCGGAACGGGUUGGUCUGUGAACCUUAUGAGAUAUCUCUUUAUGAGCGAACAUUUAUGAGUGAACCUUUCAUCGAGAAACAUGCUAUAUCAACUGAGCUAUCUAAUGUUAAUCGAGAGAAGCAUAGACGCAAAUCUCAUCGUGUAUGUAGACGUGAUCGUGAACCAAGCAGAAUACCAAUACGAAGUUUGAAAAGGUUAAGGAACAAGAGCAGAAAGAGACAGUCAGAAGAGAGACUUAAGGCGAGAUGUCUCAUGAAUCCAGUAAAGUUGAUAUGAGCCAGGUGUGAGACAAGCAUAUUGGCUGAAAAGGAACAAUUCCAGAACAGAGCAGAGAACAUAUGUGGAAAAGUGUGGUGUAGUUUGUGGACUCAAAAUGGCUUUGUAUCCAGUAACAAAGAGCAAACAACCUACCAAGACACAUGAACCUUGUAACAGCCUUUGUCAAGAGAGAGUCUCUGUGGCUCAGUGUGCGAUUGUGGGGUUGAUUCAGAAAGUCUGAGAUUUGAUUUCCCAUCAGGAUUGUUAUGUCCCCUACUUGUAAUGCGACAAAAAACAUCCUUCUUGAUCAUAUUAAACCAAACUUGCUCUGUAUUCAUUUUAUGCCCUUGCAAGCUACUGAAACAAGAUUUCAACUUAGUGGUGAUAUAAAUAAUCCUCUAUUUUGCUUAGAUCUUUAAAUUUUCACCUGCUCCUAGAGUUCACACUCCUAAGAUAUAGAACUCAUCCAAAAACUUAACUUACUCAAUUAUGGCUUAUUUGGGGGAAAAGGCACAGUAUUAGCAUCAGCCAAGCAAUCUAUUUUCUGAUAUGUUAGUUAACCCUUCAACUCCCAAGAUCUAAUUGCUAAUUCUCCCCUCAAGCUGCUACACAUUUCUUUGUAAGUUAGUAAUGAGAAUUUGACGUUAGAUCAAGACAGCAACUUCUACCUGAGUGUUCUUAUUACCUUUUUGCCAAGUAACAUAUGGAUAUUAUAGGGAGAAGUCACAUGUUAGUUACUUCUGGGAGUUAAGGUUACUUCCCACCUUCAGAGACAAUGGGUUACUUUUCACAGGAAAUCUUGAUCCAUCAUCAUUGACACCAGGAGGUCCCUUUGUCCUAUUGGUGUGCAGUUUCAGGAAGUGAGAUAAUCUCCUGGCAUGGCACAAGUUGUUUGUGAACCUUUAGGAGCUAAAAUCUCAUGUUUGAUAUAGGGAGGAAUACAACAACUUUGAGCAAAUUUAUAGGAUGUAUAGAUUUGAUUGAUUUUCAUCAAAUUUCCCCAAAGCAUCCUAGGAAUAAUGACGAAGGAAAGUGUGUUGAGAAAUUUUGAUAUUUGAAAUAUUUGUCUUGUGGAGUCCAUUUACGCAACACAUCUCAAAUAUUUUUAGCUAGUCUAACUUUAUAUGCCGAUAUCAACUCAACCAAUCAGAAUAUCAAAAAAGCCAGACACACUCUUGUUGAUUGAUGCCUUGUGAAUGAGACUGCAGCCAUUUUGCUCAUGCAGCAGCAUCCAAUGCCCGAUAAAUUCAAUAGAAGAACCUUUGGUUGCUUUAUGCCUUACUGGCUUCUGACACUUCCUUAAAGAAAAGUUGCUUAAGUUAUAUUACAAAUUUUUUUCCCAAAAGACACCAGCGAAGCUGGGAAGUAACCUAAACUCUUUAACUCCCAGAUCAAAUUUCUAAUUCUCCUUAAUGUCAACCAUACAAUUCCUAUAAUGUUAGUUCAGACAAUUUAGUAUUGGAUCAACUAAUUAUUUCCAAAUUGAUAUUUUUCUUUAAUCUCCUCACUUAUCUGGUUGAUAUUGUGUUGAUAUUAUAAGGAGAAAUUCUGUCUUGGUCACUCAUGGGAGUUAAAGGGUUAAAGGAUUUAGAAUUAUCUUGA